rnacentral:rRNA from 1 species
CCUACGGGAGGCAGCAGUGAGGAAUAUUGGUCAAUGGACGAGAGUCUGAACCAGCCAAGUAGCGUGAAGGAUGACGGCCCUAUGGGUGGUAAACUUCUUUUAUAAAGGAAUAAAACGAGGCACGUGUGCCUUUUUGCAUGUACUUUAUGAAUAAGGAUCGGCUAACUCAGUGCCAGCAGCCGCGGUAAUACGGAGGAUCCGAGCGUUAUCCGGAUUUAUUGGGGUUAAAGGGAGCGUAGAUGGGUUGUUAAGUCAGUUGUGAAAGUUUGCGGCUUAACCGUAAAAUUGCAAUUGAUACUGGCAGUCUUGAGUACAGUUGAGGUAGGCGGAAUUCGUGGUGUAGCGGUGAAAUGCUUAGAUAUCACGAAGAACCCCGAUUGCGAAGGCAGCUUACUAAACUGUGACUGACAUUGAUGCUCGAAAGUGUGGGUAUCAAACAGGAUUAGAUACCCGGGUAGUC